UCCUGCCUCCAGGUUCCUGCCCUGAGCUCCUGUCCUGACUCCCUUCGGUGAUGAACACUGAUGUGGAAAUGGAGCCCAGGAGAGCCCUUUCCUCCCCGAGUUGCUUUGGGCUGUGGUGUUUCAUGACAGCAAUAGUAACCCUAACCAGGACAGAAACUGGUACUGGGAGGGAGGCUUUACCAUGACAGAACUUCCCAUGUAUUUUUGGGAGGAUUAUGGAGGACUUUGGAACUUUGGCCUAGAAGAGCCACUGAGUGUUGAGAGCUCAGUGAGCUGUUCUGUAGGAGCUUGGAAGAUAAGCCUGUUGAGAGCAGGGCAGACAAUGGAGGCCUGGCUUGUGAAGUCUCAGAGGGACACUAAGACUCUACCAGGUCAUUAGUGUGAAGAAUCUCUGUUGUCUGGUCAGCUAGAGCAGAAGAAUCAGCUGUAUUUACAAGAGGUCAGCCAACCAUGAGGUGAAGUCUUGUGGGAUGCGUUUCCGAGGCCCAUGAUGCACCCUGUGCUGGCAGCCAAACUUGGAGCCUACAGUUGAAAGACUUUAAACUUUCAAAGAUACUUUGGAAUUUUACAAAGACUUUGGAUUUUAGAAGGAAGUUUGGAUAUUUUAAAGAGACUUUGAACUUUCAAAUAUUUGGAUUUUUAAAGACUGUGAGACUUUUAAAAUUUGGAAUCUUUUAUAUUGUGAUAUUUGUAUUAAUGUGAGAUCAUGGGGAUAAGUAAGAAAGUUUGUGGCUUAAUA